GAUGAACGCUAGCGGCAGGCUUAAUACAUGCAAGUCGAACGGUAACAGGUCCAGCAAUGGAUGCUGACGAGUGGCGUACGGGUGCGUAACACGUGUGCAACUUACCUUUAACAGGAGAAUAGCUCCGAGAAAUUGGAAUUAAUACUCCAUAACAUUAUGAAACGGCAUCGUUUUAUAAUUAAAGCUCCGGUGGUUAAAGAUGGGCACGCGAAACAUUAGCUGGUUGGAGAGGUAACGGCUCACCAAGGCUACGAUGUUUAGGGGUUCUGAGAGGAUUAACCCCCACACUGGUACUGAGACACGGACCAGACUCCUACGGGUGGCAG
rnacentral:rRNA from 1 species